rnacentral:rRNA from 1 species
UACGGGGGGGGCAAGCGUUGUUCGGAAUUACUGGGCGUAAAGGGCUCGUAGGCGGCCAACUAAGUCAUACGUGAAAUCCCUCGGCUUAACCGGGGAACUGCGUCUGAUACUGGAUGGCUUGAGAUUGGGAGAGGGAUGCGGAAUUCCAGGUGUAGCGGUGAAAUGCGUAGAUAUCUGGAGGAACACCGGUGGCGAAGGCGGCAUCCUGGACCAACACUGACGCUGAGGAGCGAAAGCCAGGGGAGCAAAC